UGGUUCUAAAUAAGGCUCUACGCGGAGCAGCAAGCGCCUCCUCGCCUCUGCAGGCUUCACCUCACAACUUGUGCAGUUUGAGCCAGUUGGCGGUCAGAUCGUCGCGGCACAGCAGCGGUGUUUUUUUGGAAAAGAGACAGAAAAGCAGCUCGCGUUAGGAAAAAAAACAAAACAAAACAAUACAAAACAAAAAAAAAAACAACUAAAUCUGUGCUCCGGUCACACCAGAGUCCAUGCACGGUACGGAUGAUACGAGUCCUGACGCCCAUCGCCGAGCCUGCUGCUGCCGCCGCUGCUGCUGCUGCUGCUGAGCCCACGCACCGAGUUUGGAGACGCUGCACGCGGACACUGUGACACCGCAGGGGUUCAUGUACUGGAAAAAUGAAGUUUUGUCCCCUCUCUCAGAGGGAAAUAAGAUUCUGUCCGAAGGAAUUCCCACGAAACAGGUGAUCUGUACCGAGCACCAGGGCACACCGGGAGCCUCGCGCUGCAGUGUGGACUCUAAACACGCACCAAUGUCUCACUCGGACGGAGAAUCCCAGCGGUCCAACAUGGAGCGGGAGGACACUCGCUCGGCCCCCAGCACCCCGUCCACCCCGUCCGUGUGCUCGCCGACCUCCACCACCAGCUCGGCGCCGUCCACCGGGAAGAACACGUGCGCCAGCUGCGGGCAGGAGAUCCUGGACAGAUACCUGCUGAAGGUGAACAACCUGAUCUGGCACGUGCGCUGUCUGGAGUGUUCCGUCUGCAGGACGUCACUACGUCAGCACAGCAGCUGCUACAUCAAAAACAAAGAGAUCUUCUGUAAAAUGGAUUAUUUCAGUAGGUUUGGUACUAAGUGUGCCCGCUGUGGGCGGCAGAUAUACGCGAGCGACUGGGUGCGCCGUGCGAGGGGAAACGCGUACCACUUGGCAUGCUUUGCGUGCUACUCGUGUAAGAGGCAGUUGUCCACGGGAGAGGAGUUUGGCUUGGUGGAGGAGAAGGUCCUGUGCAGGAUCCACUACGACACCAUGGUGGAGAACCUCAAACGGGCUGCUGAGAGUGGCAAUGGUAUCACGUUAGAGGGAGCCGUUCCAACAGAACAAGACAGUCAACCCAAACCAGCCAAAAGGGCGCGGACAUCCUUCACAGCAGAGCAGCUACAGAUCAUGCAGGCUCAGUUCGCCCAGGACAACAAUCCAGACGCCCAGACGCUACAGAAACUAGCCGACAUGACAGGCCUCAGCAGGAGAGUGAUACAGGUGUGGUUUCAAAACUGCAGAGCAAGACACAAAAAGCACACGCCCCAGCACAGUGGGGCUCCCCAAGGUCACCCUCAGUCCAGGAUACCCUCGUCCCUGCCCGAUGAGCUGCAUUACUCCCCCUUCGGCAGUCCCGAGCGGGCGCGCAUGGUGGCCCUACAUGGUUACAUCGACAGUCACCCCUUCUCCAUGCUGACCUCUCAGAGUCUCCCUCACCAGGCCAUGUCGCUGCCCCAGCUCCCCCUCAGCCGCUAGCGCUCCACCAAGUAUCACCCUUACGACCCCCUCCCCCCCCGACCUCCGGGUCCUAACCCCUGAUCUCCCACCGCUGACGUCAGCAGACCUGACCCGGAGGUCGCGCGGGAGCCAGCUUGGAGAAAAGACACAUCUUGCAGGAGCCCUGCACACUUGGAAACAUGGACAGAAAAGGGAAGGAAGAGGAGGAACUGAGACACAUGCGUCCUUAUGUUGUUUUCUCUCUGAGGACAGGAAUAUCCCACCUGCAGCCGAUCUGUCAAAAAUGAGCAUGACGCAGGAACUCGAUGACUGUAUUUACACCACCUGAAGGGGCCCGUUUUGCUACACAUGUACAGCAUCCUCCACACGACUCAUCCGCCCUGUGACUUGAAGGUGGAGGGAGUUUUCAAAGGGAUGAAACUGACCAAGGAAGCAGGGCUGAAGCCUCUUGAGCGAUGUCAGUUUACUGAAGAUAAACAAAGGAGGGAAAAUUAAAGGGGGAACUGUCAUUGUGGCUCAUGGGCCAGGCACACACAGUAGACCACAUUAGAGGUUCCCUGGUUUACGCACCUAGUGAGAGAUGAGCUGAAGCAGAUGAGAACCUGCAGUGUAACACACCUAAUGACUAAUUGCUGUGGUAGUAAAGCAGAGGUUGGGCGCUCAUGAAGGAGAGCAGCCAAAAACAGAGUCUCUAAUGACUCUUCUUAAUUCUCCAUGGACUAGUUUCCAAUAGAUGAUUCAUAAAAUCUCACUUCACUGGAACACUGUAUUUGAAGAUGAUGUGACUCCCUGCCCCUCAAAGGCUGUAAACUCAAAUGAGUAACUACUUAGUUGGAUUUGUAGAAAAGAAAUAAAGCAUGACUUUGUAAGUGAAUAGAAUUGUUUUUUCUUAAAUUUAAUCGGAGAGGGAAUUUAACAUAGGCCUUAAAAGAAAAUUGCUUUUCAAGACAAUUUUCUUCUCAACAUGAAAAUGAGAUGCAACAACCAAACAUCAACCAAAGUGUUGGUUAACAGUAGUUAUGCCCUUAUGAGAUCAAUUAAUACCAAUAAAAAGAAAAAUAUAUAUAUACAUAUAUAUAGUAAUUAGAUAUAGUGAUUAUAAUAGCAUAAUAAACAUGUUUUUAUUGGAUAAGAUAUUUUAAAAGCAUUUAUAUAAAAUGUAAAGGUUUAUAGAUACUUUAGAAUAUUUGAAGCUUAAAAAAUAAAAUCCUAUAUGUUUGUAAAUGAGCUUAAUUCACUCAACCAUUAGGUUAACUAGUUCAAAUGGUCGUAUUAAUGUGGAAAAGCAUCUUAUCAGGGCCUUAUUACCUAUAAACUACAGCUUAUCCCAAGGAUAUUUAGAUUAAGCGUUACCUCAGCCCAGUGUCUGUAAAUGAAAGCACUUACUGAAAGCAAGACUGCUCCCUGUUAUCAUAGAGUCAUUUCGGUCAACACCCAAUGACGACUCCUCUAAUCCAAGUGUUUCCUGGUCCCUAACCAAAACCAGUGUGUAAGAUGAAGUGCAUGAUGUGAUCUGCAGAACGUGCUGAUAAGACAUUUCUGAAUCAGUCUCUUUUCAUGUACAGUGCAUUGGUGCGGUGCUGAGCCGGUCAUAAAAUCUAUUUGACAAGCACCUUUAUCCAAACUGACCUGGAGACGUUUUGGGUUCUUGCUCUAAAAUACUUUGAUAUGUGGAAAAAACCACUGACCCCAAGGCCAACCUGCUCGACCACAAACCCUGUCACCAGAAUAAAGUUGGCAAACUUGAUGUUAAAUGUUCAAAUUUAUGUUGUGAUGGUGCUGUGCUUAUCGUCUGGUUAGGUAAGAAAUAAAAAUCACUUGGUUAGGGUGAGGAAGAAAAUCAUGAUUUGGCUUGAAAGACCUGCUUUGGUUGCCCAAACACAGCUGGAAACUGUGCAGUUGUAUCACGCUCACAAAAGUUCAGCUCAGUCUUGAACUGUGGUCACUGGCUUGACAGCCUUCUAGCUAGCUUCUAGCUUAACACAUGCAAACCUUAACACCUCAGCGAACUGCAGAAACAUUAACUGCUACCAAUUUACUCGGCCAGCUGGGCUACAACCAUCUAAGCCACAGCCCGUUUACUUUUAAACCUUCUGGACACAUCUGUGAUGGAGAAAAGCCACUUCAUAACUGACACACUAACUGUCACCACCCCCCGUUGCAUCUAUCAUCCAGCAUUCCCAACAUAUCCCUCUAUAUGCCUGCAUAUCCAUACAUGCAGGCAGCUCCUUGAUGACAAGAAAUUGUUUCAACUCCAAAAAUAAUCUUAAACCUCUUGGGGAAUAUUAGCAACAGAUCCUAUUGUUUUGCUAACUUGGCACUAUGCCAG